GUCCUCGUGGAGCUGUCGGAGUGCUCGCCACUCUUUCAAAGUGGAGACCAUGGGUUCGAAUCCCAUCGAGGACA
rnacentral:tRNA from 2 species